AAAAUAGUUUGUCAAUAUAAUUCACAAAUAUAUGCACUUUCUCAUUUAUAUUCCCAGACAGAUUUGUUAAACUGGAGUUAAGCUUGAGAGCACAUAGGAGAAAUAUGUUUUUUUAAAAAAAUCCUGCAAGAGUUUUGUAAUUGUCAAUAAAAAUCACCAUUAUAAACCCAGGAAAUUCAGUCAGAUUGGAACUUGAAUUUACCUUAAUUUUUAAAAAAUAGAUAAUUAAAAAAAUCCAGUUUCUGAUGGAGCACCUUUCAAAUGGUAUGUCCUGAAUUUUUAAAUUAUUUUAAGAGGUUUCUGCUCCCUGUUGAUGUUUACAAGACACUUGUUUAUAUACAGGACACUGCAAAACUGCUUAUACAUAAAUUGCUGUCAAAUUCACAAAAUAAAUUAAAGAUUUUUUUUUUUCACUAUUGAUUUCAGUGAGAGUAAUCUUAGGUGUUACUUAACUAUAGUAGAUGCAAAAUUUUCAGGCAGAAAUGUGAUUCUCAAGUUGCUGGUGGUUCCUUGGAAAGAAACCCAAAUAUUUGAAAGUAUGAAAAUCCACAGUUUACGCAUUCAGUUCUAACUCUGCCCCUAUAGUUAGGCAGUGGAGUGGGGGGGGGGCCCUUUGGAGAUUUUAUUCAUGUCAAAACUUCAUGUCUUUAAGGACCACAGAAAGUAAAAUGCUUCACUCUUAAUCACAGUUAUUGCUCCAGCUCUAGCCUUUUUUAUGGGCAUACAUAGUCCACAGUAAAAGAUGUACUUUACUAAUUCCUGAUUAGACAGAUCGAAUACUUAAAGCAUCAUCCACUUUUCAUUACUAUUCCACAUGCCACCAAUCACAGAAGUAUCAUUAGGCACAGAACUAAGGAUCUAACCCUCCUAAACAUAGAUGCAUAAAAUUAUGGCACUUACAUGAAAGAACAAAAGUUAAUGUGGUUGUUAGCAUCGUAAAUGAAUAAUCAUCAGAGACAUUUAUAUACCAAUUAGUUAUAAAACCAAUGGUGUAUGGUUCAUAUUCUUAUGGAGUCUCAUUGACUGCCGGUGAGGCUCCACUUGGGUGCAGAUGUUCAUGCUAAUAGAUCCCAAUGCAGGAUUGGGCCUUAAAAAGCUUGGUGUUUUAGGAUGAAAUCCUGGCCCAAUGAUGUCAAUUGGAGUUUUCCCAUUGACUCUAAUGAGGACCGUAUUUCGCCCUCAAUCUAAAGGGCUUCUGAAGGGUUUUGUGAAAAAAAAGAUUAGAGGAUGGCUGGUUUUCAGUCUGUAUCAGAACAGUUUAUCCAAAUUUAAGAUGUCUCUGUGGUAUUUUUAGUAAAGAAAA